rnacentral:rRNA from 1 species
AUUGAACGCUGGCGGCAGGCCUAACACAUGCAAGUCGAGCGAGCGGCGGACGGGUGAGUAAUGUCUGGGAAACUGCCUGAUGGAGGGGGAUAACUACUGGAAACGGUAGCUAAUACCGCAUACCAUCAGAUGUGCCCAGAUGGGAUUAGCUAUUAGGUGGGGUAAUGGCUCACCUAGGCGACGAUCCCUAGCUGGUCUGAGAGGAUGAACAGCCACACUGUAACUGAGACACGGGCCAGACUCCUACGGGAGGCAGCAGUGGGGAAAAUGUCACAAUGAGCGCAAGCCUGAUGCAGCCAUGCCGCGUGUGUGAAGAAGGCCUUCGAGUUGUAAAGCACUUUCAGCGGGGAGGCGUUAACAGCAGAAGAAGCACCGGCUAACUCCGUGCCAGCAGCCGCGGUAAUUC